AAUUAAGCCCAAUUGAGUUGGGUCCGAACCCAAUUAAGCUGAGUUAGUCUCAGCAGACCCAAAUUGAAUAUGAAUCAAGCCCAAUUCAAAACCAGUUUAACUAAAUUGAGACCAAAUUGACUUUGGGCUGACCCUGACUCAAGCCUAAAUGAGCCACAUUGACCCUGGACCAAAAUUAAACCUAAUUGGACUUGAAAUUGAGCCCAAUAACCUAAUCAGAAGA
rnacentral:lncRNA from 1 species